AGUGAACGCUGGCGGUAGGCCUAACACAUGCAAGUCGAACGGCAGCACAGUAAGAGCUUGCUCUUACGGGUGGCGAGUGGCGGACGGGUGAGGAAUACAUCGGAAUCUACUUUUUCGUGGGGGAUAACGUAGGGAAACUUACGCUAAUACCGCAUACGACCUACGGGUGAAAGCAGGGGAUCUUCGGACCUUGCGCGAUUGAAUGAGCCGAUGCCGGAUUAGCUAGUUGGCGGGGUAAAGGCCCACCAAGGCGACGAUCCGUAGCUGGUCUGAGAGGAUGGUCAGCCACACUGGAGCGGGGACACGGUCCAGACGCCUACGGGAGGCAGCAGUGGGGAAUAUUGGACAAUGGGCGCAAGCCUGAUCCAGCCAUACCGCGUGGGUGAAGAAGGCCUUCGGGUUGUAAAGCCCUUUUGUUGGGAAAGAAAAGCAGCAGGUUAAUACCCCGCUGUUCUGACGGUACCCAAAGAAUAAGCACCGGCUAACUUCGUG
rnacentral:rRNA from 1 species